rnacentral:rRNA from 1 species
CCUACGGGUGGCAGCAGUGAGGAAUAUUGGUCAAUGGGCGCGAGCCUGAACCAGCCAAGUAGCGUGAAGGAUGAAGGCUCUACGGUUUGUAAACUUCUUUUAUAAAGGAAUAAAGUGAGGAACGUGUGCCUUUUUGUAUGUACUUUAUGAAUAAGGAUCGGCUAACUCCGUGCCAGCAGCCGCGGUAAUACGGAGGAUACGAGCGUUAUCCGGAUUUAUUGGGUUUAAAGGGAGCGUAGGUGGUUAAUUAAGUCAGAUGUGAAGGUUUGUGGCUCAACCAUAAAAUGGCAGUUGAUACUGGUUGAGUUGAGGAUAGUAGAGGACGGAGGAAUGCGUGGUGUAGCGGUGAAAUGAAUAGAUAUAAGGAAGAACGCCGAUUGCGAAGGCAGCUUACUAAACUAUAACUGACACUGAAGCUCGAAAGCGUGGGGAGCAAACAGGAUUAGAUACCCCAGUAGUC